UGUACACGCUGUGACUAGCAUAUCAAUAAGCGGAGGAAAAGGUACCUACGCUUAGGAUGUUGACGAGACUGUCGAUCUCAUCUAUACAUGACUCUGUGUAUAUCAAUAAGCGGAGGAAAAGAAACUAACAAGGAUUCCCCUAGUAACGGCGAGUGAAGCGGGAAGAGCUCAAAUUUGAAAUCUUAAAGGGUUUCCCUUUACGAAUUGUAGUUUAAAGAAGUGUUUUCUGUUGAGGUUUUGGUAAAAGUUCUUUGGAAUAGGACAUCAUAGAGGGUGAGAAUCCCGUAUUUGACCUUUACUUUCAACUUUGUGAUACACUUUCAAAGAGUCGGAUUGUUUGGGAAUGCAGUCCAAAAUGGGUGGUAAAUUUCAUCUAAAGCUAAAUAUUGGCGAGAGACCGAUAGCGAACAAGUACCGUGAGGGAAAGAUGAAAAGAACUUUGAAAAGAGAGUUAAACAGUACGUGAAAUUGUCAAAAGGGAAGCGUUUGACACCAGUGUUGUUUUUCUGAAAAUCAAUUAAAGAACUGUUUAUGCUAAGUUGUUUAGACUUUAUCAGCUAUCUGUUUAGUUUUGAGCUUUUCUUUAAUGCACUUUUCAGUUAACAAGUCAACAUCAAUUUCUUUUGCUGUAAAAAAGCUUGAGGAAGGUGGCUUGAGAUUCGUCUUAAGUGUUUAUAGCCUCUUGCCUAUGCAGUCGGAGAGAUUGAGGUCUGCAGCGUAGAUCCUUCGGGGCUAAAUGCAUUUGUGCUAAGUUAUAGCAUUUUAUAGACAACUUGUUGACUAUGAUUUGUCUUGUAGCUUACUCGCUUAUGUUAUUUUACCUACGCUUAGGAUGUUGACGAGACUGUCGAUCUC
rnacentral:rRNA from 1 species